ensembl:lncRNA
GCGUAAUCCGCCGAGGAAUCCGAUUCCGGGCAGCCCCGAUGCCCUCGCUCCCGGGAGCCUGGGCGGGCGACGCCCUCGUCCGAACGCCGUCGUUUCCAUCUGCAAGGCAGUAGACACAGCUUGCAUAUUUGUGCAUGAAAUUUAAUCUAUACACGCAAGUCUGGAGGCUUGGUUUGGCAAGAGGAAUAAUUGUACUAUGCAAGGCACUGGUCUUCAUCUGAAGAUUUAUCAGCAUACAAGACAGAUGUGGUCUCUUGCCUUGGAUCACACAGUUAAUGGAGGAGCUGGAACCAGAAAAAAAACUGUAGAUUUUUAAUUAAAAGAACUUCCAUUAAUCAAAUGCUGACUCUAUACCAGGCCCGAAGUGUUUCACCUACACUAAGUCAUAUAAUCUCUACUUAUGGUAGGGCAGAACACACCUUCCCACUCCUAGGGCCUCCUGGCCCAUCUCUCCUGCCUCCUUUUCUCUGCCCAAGAGGGAAAUGGCUUAUCUGUGUUUGGAAAGAUUAACAGAGCCCAAGUAAUUCAGUCCCAUCUCUUAUCUCUCGUUUUUGGUAGGCAGAACUGGCUGUCUGAAAAAAGUUUGUUCAGCUUUGCUCUUACAGAUCCUAUGGAGAACUGGGGCAGAAGAUCAGCAAGACACAUACUGGGGUUUAAAAUUAGGAAGCCCAGUUUCUCACAUCAGCUUUCUCAUCAAAUGAGUUACUCUGUGUAUAUGUAAUGGAGAAGCAUUUCAUAAAAAUAACAAGUAACUGUGCAC